GUGCUUGCUUUGGCAGCACAUAUACUAAAAUUGGAAUGAUAUAGAGAAGAUUAGCAUGGCCCCUGCACAAUGAUGACUUGCAAAUUUAUGAAGCAUUUCAUAUUAAA